GGAUGUUAACGUCCAGGUAGAUAUGGACAUCCUUAUCUCAAGAAUUGUCCAUGCAUGUAGCCAAUGAAAAUUUCCCCAUGCAAUAGAAGGAUAUUGUUGUAUCUGUAAAGAUGUUUUUUAAUACCAUUUUUCUGUUCACAGUAGUUUCUAUUGUUUAUCAUGGAUAUCUUCCCAAAGAUAUUUUGGCAAUUAAUCUGUAAUUAUAAAUUAUCUAUUUGAUGUCCAUAUCAUCUUUCUGACACCAGAACUUCAUUAUGUACAUUAUUUAUUCAACAGGUAUUUUACUGUCUAUGGUGAUUAGUGAAUCAAAUGUUAAUCGAAAAAUACUAAAAUGUUCUUUUAAAUCAUAAUUAGUGCACAACCUUUAUGCCUUGAUGAAUCAAGAAUUUUGUUUUGAAGAAUGUUGACAGUUUACCCUCAUUAUUUAUCUAUAACUAAUUUGUUGAUGCGACAUGAUAUCUUUUUUUUUUUGUCUAUUGGUAUCAGGCCAUAUUCGUGCUCAAGGCUUGAUAUUCAGUCAAGUCAGCAUUAAACAUCGCUUGAUGCUCCUUUCUUUCUUUCCUUUUUUUUUUUUUUUCGUCUCUCCAUGACUGAAUGACACAUGCAUUUCACUCAAUUUUUUUUAUACAGUUGUGAAGGGAGGUGUUUGAGGUCCUUCCAUGCAACUAAAGAUGUUGGUGCUGACUCAGCCUGUAAAUCUCUUGGCAUGUCUAAGGCUCAAGUGAAAGCAAUUCAAAACUUAUUGUGCGCAAAUUGCCAAUACAAACGGCAUCAGUGUUUUUUUUUUUUUUUGUGGCAAGUUGGGCUCUUCUGAUAAAUCCAGCAACGCUGAGGUUUUCCCGUGUUUCUGCAACGUGUGGCCAUUUCUAUCAUCCAGAAUGUGUUACAAAAUUACUUCAUCCAGGAAAUGAUGCUGAAGCGGAAGAGCAUAAAAAAGAGAUAGUUGCUGGAGAACCAUUUACUUGCCCUGUUCAUAAAUGCCUUGUAUGUAAACAAGGAGAAAACAAGGAGGUUGAGGGUUGCAAUUUGCUCUAUGCAGACGCUGUAAUGAUUUGA